CCAAUAGCGUAUAUUAAAGUUGUUGCAGUUAAAAAGCUCGUAGUUGAAUUUCGGGGUUAGUAGGUUGGUCAUGCCUCUGGUAUGUACUGGUCUCACUGAUUCCUCCUUCCUGAUGAGCCGUAAUGCCAUUAAUUUGGUGUUGCGGGGAAUUUGGACUGUUACUUUGAAAAAAUUAGAGUGUUUAAAGCAAGCUAACGCUUGAAUACAUUAGCAUGGAAUAAUGAAAUAGGACGUUCGAUCCUAUUUUGUUGGUUUCUAGGAUUGACGUAAUGAUGAAUAGGGAUAGUUGGGGGCAUUAGUAUUCAAUUGUCAGAGGUGAAAUUCUUGGAUUUAUUGAAGACUAACUACUGCGAAAGCAUUUGCCAAGGAUGUUUUCAUUAAUCAAGAACGAAAGUUAGGGGAUCGAAGACGAUCAGAUACCGUCGUAGUCUUAACCAUAAACUAUGCCGACUAGGGAUCGGAUGAUGUUAAUUUUUUAAUGACUCAUUCGGCGCCUUACG
rnacentral:rRNA from 1 species